AGUGCAGAUUUUGGGGGUAGUAGCAAGUACUUUGGUGAACCAACCGGGAGCUGUGAGGUUUGGAUCAGGGUUCCAUGUCAACAGUGAUUGAACAGGGUGAGUCGAUCCUAAGCCAACUGUGAAAGCAGUGACAUCCCGACAAAGGGGCAGUUCGUUUGGCGGCCACACGCGUUUGUGUGCACAUUCGCAAGUCUCCUCUCUCUAUAUAUGGUCGCGCGCGCAUGCAAACACCCGGUGCGCGUGUGUUUUGUCUGGUUACGCUCAAAAAGCGUUAUAUGGUUGGAGAGAGAGAAAACGAGGCAGUGCCGCGCGUGUGUGCGUGUGCGUUCGUUCUCAAAGUUCCCUGCGUCUGGUUCUAUGUCUGGCGAAAGGGAAUGGGGACUUUGUUCCUUGACCGGUCCCGGCACCCUCGAUAGGCUUUGCCAAUCAAUGGUCCAUGCAAAUGGAACCAGGCCACAGCCGCCGGCAGUCGCCCGAGGAAGAGUUUUCUUUUCUGCUUAACGCACGAGAUCAUCCCUGGAAACAGUUCGGCUGGCGAAAGGGUGCCCCGUUGCGGCAGAGCGCCACGACUGUCGUGCGCGUCUCGGUGUUCCUGCCGGUCCGUGAAGACGUGGUCGAGGGGAUUGCUAUUGUAUCAACGAAACGCCCGACAAGUUCGGGACGGACCGUACCCUAUAUCCGCAUCUGGUCUCCAAGGUUCGUAGCCUCUGCAGAGUCAGACACAUGUAGGUAAGGGAAGUCGGCAAACUCGAUCCGUAACUUCGGGAAAAGGAUGGCUCUGAGGGCCGAGCUGGGCCGGGCCUAGCCUGCAAAGCAGUACCUAUAGUGACCGGAGUUUCAGGAGUGCGAGGGGCUCUAGUAGCUUCCUGCGCUUUC
rnacentral:rRNA from 1 species